UGUGAAUAGUAGCGUGUUAGAAUAGUAGACAGACUUCCACCGCUUAUCAUUCACGUCAGCGAAAGGGAGAAAAGGACCCAGCGACGCCUCAGGCGCGGGGAGGAUGAGCUGAUUAGCUGAUUACUCCAAUGCUGGGUGUCUGAAUGGAGCAAAUCUUACAGAACUGUAGAAUUAAAGUGCUGCAGUGGAGGCUGAGAGACAGAACGACUGAGAAUGCUAGAAAGAGAAGUGAAUGGUACAAGGUCUUUAGUGAGCCAUGAAAAUCAGAGAGGAAAUGAGAGACACGUUGGCAGACAAAAGAAAAGAAAGAAAUACAAGAAAGAAAGAGUCAACCCAACACGGAAGGCAUCAAAUGCAUCAAAUACAUAAUCUGUCACCAUGCCAGCAAAAAUCAAAAGCUUCACUGAGCCCAGACUUUAAAUUACUCUCCUAGUCUCAUUUUUUCCAUCAUCUCCCUGAUCCCACUUCAUAACGAAAAUCAUAAACAGCAUCGAAGCCCUUAGGAAAUCAAACACAUGGAUGUAAACCUCCUCUAUGCCACCACUCAGAUAAGAUAAUGGAAUAAAACACCAGCACUGUGCUUUAACCUCACAGCUCGAUCUCAUUCCACCUGGAUUUAGUCAGGACCAAAGUGAAAAUGUAAGUGUAAAGGUUUGCAAUUUAAAAAAUAUUACAAGCCUCUUAAAAGCAAUAACCAAACGGCCACUGGAGACUAAAGAGAGGUCUAUUUUGGUAAGAGACAAUGAAGACGUCCAUCUACUGAAGGUGCACAAGAUUAAUGGAUUUGGUAAAGUAGAGGCUUAUUGUUGAGGUUAUAUGUGCUAACAGGUGGGCAUGUUAAGAUCCCUAAAUAUUUAUUGAUGUAUUAAUUAGGAUUUGAAGACCAUAUUUUACCUUUUGGUUCCAUCCAUGACAGGACAGGCAGUUACAGUUACCCAUGAUUCAUCAGUUAGAGUUUAGUUUCAAAAGCCAUUACAGCCAAUUUUGUAUCUCCAGUUCCACUGUGAGAAAACCCAUACAGAAAUGGGAGGACUUACAAACUCCACACAGACCUUCUCACUGUAAGGUGACAGUGCCACCCAACGAGCCACCAUGUCACCCUGGUCCCUAAACUAUAAUAAAC